rnacentral:misc_RNA from 1 species
GAUGAAGAACGUAGCGAAAUGCGAUAAGUAAUGUGAAUUGCAGAAUUCAGUGAAUCAUCGAAUCUUUGAACGCACAUUGCGCCCGCCAGUAUUCUGGCGGGCAUGCCUGUCUGAGCGUCAUUUCAACCCUCAUGCCCCUAGGGCGUGGUGUUGGGGAUCGGCCAAAGCCCGCGAGGGACGGCCGGCCCCUAAAUCUAGUGGCGGACCCGUCGUGGCCUCCUCUUCGAAGUAGUGAUAUUCCGCAUCGGAGAGCGAUGAGCCCCUGCCGUUAAACCCCCAACUUUCCAAGGUUGACCUCAGAUCAGGUAGGAAUACCCGCUGAACUUAAGCAUAUCAAUAAGCGGAGGA